rnacentral:tRNA from 1 species
GCGCCUGUAGCUCAAUCGGAUAGAGCAUCUGCCUUCUAAGCAGAGGGUCGCCAGUUCAAGUCUGGCCAGGCGCG